UACUAUUAUUACUAUUAUUAUUAUAUUAUUAUUAGUGGGUUGUAAAUCUUAAAAUUAGGAGAAAUGUAUAAUGUAGCUUUUUGGCGUCUUAAAAUCAGUAUAAUUGUUUGUAAACUUAAGAUGCAAAAAUCUUUGAAUCAUCGUUGUGGUAUUUUUAUAUGUUAUAAUUUUUGUAUUAGUGAAAUUUCAUGUUCUAAUACAUACUUCACUUGUACUGUCUUUAGAAUAUGUAUGGAAACUCCCUGGAUUGCCACCUCGCAUGGCUAUACAGUGAGGAAUAAAGGAUUAUAUAUUGGAGGAUUGGAUCUGCCCUGGAUCAGUAGGGAAACGGAUACAUGGAUGUGCACGAAAUAAGGAUGGAUACAAACACUUACACCAAGGAUUAACAGAACAGAACUAAUUGUAAAGAGGAACAUUUACACACUUGCCACAUUCGGAAGUGUUAGUCGCUUUGAUAAACAUAAUAAGGGGAUCACUACCUGGAAUAUAUAUGGGCAGUUAUGGAUGGAUUACAACAGCUUUCAUUCCUACUUUGCAAAUAGGAAGAGUCAGGGAAAAGGAAAGGGAAUACACACAUUCCAAUAAGGAAAGGAAAUAGGACUUGAAAUAAUUGACUUUAUUCAAAUGGGAUUUGCACAAAGGAGGAUUCACAGGAGAUACUCUGGAUCGAGGGAUUGGGAGAAAGCAUGGAUGCGCCGUGGGACAGAGGUCAAACAUUGUGAGGAUCAAGUUGAGGAUCUUUGAAGUUACAUUUCCAAGGCUUCAAACUUUGUCAGUUAGGAGAUUCCUCGUAAUGUAGGAUGAUGGCGAGAAGAUAAUUUUGGAUUACUGGAUUUAAAAAAGUAGCCAUAGUUUUAGCAUCAAUUUAGAAAAUCUAUGAUAUUUUAACUUAUCUGAAUCACAAUCAUUUUCCAUUUAAUUUUGAAAUUUAAUUAUUUAUUUAAAAUUUUAUACUUUAGAAUAAUUUUUCUCUUAAGUGUGAAAUUUUAUGAAAGUUUCUUGAAUGAAUUAUGCAAUAAUAAAUUUGUUAUUUGGCUACCUGUGAUGAUACAAAAUUUGGUAAGUAAAUAAGGUAAGCUUGACUGAAAUUUUAGGUUUUUCUCAUGCUUUGAAGAUAUUCAUUUUUUACUCCCUGUUAUAGUUCUUUAAUUCAUUUUCUGCACAAUGAUCAUAUUUUUACAUAGUGCACACACAAAUUAAUAUAUUUUUUCUAUUAUAUAUACAUACUAUAAAUGACAGUUAACAACUAUCUAUCUAUAUAUAUUUGUGUGUCUGCAGGAAUACUUUAGGCAUUUCUGGGUAUGAUAGGAGUUUGGGGUUUUGCAUGGAAGUGGGGAUUGUCCCAGAUUUUCUAUGGAAAUUAUGAAAUUAACGAGGCACCUCAGAG
rnacentral:lncRNA from 1 species